UGUGUGUGUGUGUGUGUGUGUGUGUACUUGUUUAUCUAGUAUCUGUGUGUGCCAGUUACCCAGAGUUCUUGGGAUAGGCUCCAGAUCCACUGCAGAUGAUCUUCACCAAUUAAAAAUAAACUGUUAUUACAAGUUAAUGAUGACACAGUGACAUGAUGGAGCAGCAGUUUUUCAGUUUCCUCCAAAACAUAUUCUAGUUGGUGGAUUGGCUACAUUAAGGACAUUAGGACCUACCUAUGAUAAAAGUGUACACCUUGCAUCUUACGUCAUGAGAAAAUAAUAGUCAACAGUCUUGUUUUGAUGCUCUGAACUAUACUCAGCCAAAACAUGUGCAGGAAAGACCAUAAUUAGCCUUGCACAAUCAAAUGAUGCACACAUAAGAGGUGAGGUAACCAAAUCCAUUAAAAGUGUCGAAACAAUUGUUGGAGGGCCGGAAGCUCCAAGAAGGGUGAGAGGGGCUUUGCACUCACUACAGCUGCAGACCUCUUCGCAGCUCUCUCCAAGGCAAGUAAACAAGGGGCUCAAACAUCUGGUGCAUGUGUACCUCCUCUUACACACUCUGGUGCUCACAAGGAAGGAUGCCAAAAAAACAAAUCGGGAGAAAUCGACUAAACAAAAGACCACUUCUGCACGUGUGAGGAUAUCCCCUUCUGCGGCAUGCUGUAGUAGCCCACUCUGAGAGCCAAACAUGCGGAAGAAAAUGGGCCUCAUCCUGUUUCCCAGGUUGUCUAAACUAAAGAUGGGAUCCCAGUCACCUCUACACACCUGUAGACUAGACCAGUGCUCGUUGGCGAGACCACUCCCUACAGAAGAUCCUAUGGAGGCCUGGAGUCUAUCCCAGAACACUCAGGCGUGAGGCAGGGGACACCCUGAAUAGAGUACCAAUCCAACGCAGGACACAAGCACACACAAUGAUGCACACUACAAUCAAUUUGGAAACAACAAGUAACUUACUCUGUAUGUGUUUGGACUGUGGGAGGAAACCAGAGUGCAUGGAGGGAACCCAACAAGCAUGCGGAAAACAGCCAACUUUACAACAACCACGGAACCAAGGCAGGACUCAAACCCUCAAGCUUGGAAGUGCAAGGCCAGAGUGCUAACCACAAUACCACCAGGGAAGUAUCAAUCAAAAAAAAUUGUUAUGGUUCAAAUUAAUAGGUUAUCAAGAGGUAUCGUUAAAAAGCUUAGAAUUUUUAGUUGUCAAUAAAUUGGCAGUGCUA